UCCCCAGGCGUAGAUGGGGUUGGAGGGAAAAGGGCGUCCUCAGCCAGGAUGGAGUGGCCUAGAGGGGGAAAGGGAGCACGUCGCAGGGGUUUCUCCUCCCAGGAUUAGGGAGCUGUUUGGCAUUGUACUGUAGGAAGGCCGGGCUCCUAGGACAAUGGCAAGGUGUCAAGCGGGUUUGCAAUAGCCCACAAGGAAAAUCUGUAGCUGGAAAUGAUCCUAAAGACUGAAAUAUAAAGAAUGUAUUUAUAGGGUUUGCUAUAUGUGUGUGUGUAACCCUCGGUGGUGCAGCAGAUUAAAUCGUUGAGCUGCUGAACUUGCUGACCGAAAGGUCACCGGUUCAAAUUCGGGGAGUGGAGUGAGCUCCCGCUGUUAGCCCCAGCUUCUGCCAACCUAGCAGUUCAAAAACAUGCAGAUGUGAGUAGAUCAGUAGGUACCGCUCCGGCGGAAAGGUAAUCACGCGCCAUGUAGUUAUGCUGGCCACAUGACCUUGAAGGUGUCUACGGACAACACCGGCUCUUCAGCUUAGAAAUGGAGAUGAGCACUAACCCCCAGAGUCGGACACGACUAGACUAAACCUUUACCUUCACCUUUACCUAGCCAUUUAUUUAUAGUAUUUGCCAUUUGUGUGGGUAUAGAGAAUUAUCAAAUACAGGAAGUCUCCAAGCUACAGACACCUGACUUAUCAACGACUCAUAGUCUUUUUAUCAUGUCUGAAGCAACUUGAGAAUAUACUGCAAGUCGCUUCUAGUGUGAGAGAAUUGGCCAUCUACAGAGAUGUUGCCCAGGGACACAACUAGACUAAACCUUUACUUUCACCUUUACCUAGCCAUUUAUUUAUAGGGUUUGCCAUUUGUGUGUGUAUAGAGAAUUACCAAAUACAGGAAGUCUCCAAGCUACAGACACCUGACUUAUCAACGACUCAUAGUCUUUUUAUCAUGUCUGAAGCAACUUGAGAAUAUACUGCAAGUCACUUCUACUGUAAGAGAAUUGGCCGUCUACAGAGAUGUUGCCCAGGGGACGCCCAGAUAUGUUACCAUCCUGCUGGGAGGCUUAUCUCAUGACCUCACAAGCUAGAGCUGACAGACAGGUGCUCACUGUGAGGGUUUGUAAAUGCCGAUUGGCUGCUGUCUCUAGCUUGGUGCUGAGGCAAACGGUUUUAACUGCGGGUUGUUGUAUGUCUUUCGGGCUGUGUGGCCAUGUUCCAGAAGCAUUCUCUCCUGACGUUUCGCCCACAUCUAUGGCAGGCAUCCUCAGAGGUUUUAACUGCCACUUUAAUCUCAGAGAGGGAGGAGAGCAGCUGACUAGAAAUUGGUCAGGAAGGAAAUGGCUGCCAUACACUUUAAAGCCUGACUAUUUAUGAGGAAAAUGAGGCAUAUUUAAAGGCUGUUUAAAGGGACUGUUUAUUCCCUAUAUUCUCUGUGUGACUUCAGAAAGACUGAUGUAUAUAUUGUUGGCCUGCUUGAUCUUUUGAACUGAAGUAAAGAUACUGUUACUUGUUACACAAGCCUGAGUGGCAUUUUAUUAUACUGCAGGGUUUAUCUUGAUUCAGAAACUGUGGUAAAGCUUCUAUUUAUUUAUUUCUACAACCUUCAACUGUGAGAGAAUUGGCCGUCUACAGAGAUGUUGCCCAGGGGACACCCAAAUGUGUUACCAUCCUGCUGGGAGUCUUCUCUCAUGUCCACACAAGCUAGAGCUGACAGAUGGGUGCUCACCCCAUCUUGCAGAUUCCAACCAGCAAUCUUCAGGUCAGCAGUCCAGCCAGCACAAGAGUUUAACCCAUUGCACCACUGGGACUCCAACUCAUAGUUAAGAAUGGGGAUGAGAAAACAGGAAGUGAAAGAAAUCUAUCCCUCUAAAGGGAAAUUCGCUCAUGAAAUAGUUAUUAUCAUGGGGAAAAGGGGUCUCUACUGAAGCUUUAGCACCCCUCCUUGUUUACACAACAAGCCAAAUUUUUCAAAAUCCAAUUGUCAAAGGAACAGUGAGGUGAAAUCUUCUGAACAGAGGCAAAGGCAGCAAAACACAUAUUUCUGAAAUUACACUUCAAAAUGUACCUUGUUCCAACUUACAAACUAAUUCAACUUAAGAACAAACCUACAGUAUCGUUUGUAACUCAGGGACUGCCUGUAUACUGAAUACCAAAUAUACCAAAUAUUGGGAAUUGGUUAUGUGCCAGUUUCCUAUAUUUGGGGAUAAUUCUGUGGAAGUCUCAGUAGAGAAGACAUUGUCAGCAAACUCCGCAGUGUGUGGAGGUUCCUAGAUUGCUAGUUCAAGAAAUCACCAUAUGAAAAUGUGUCUUUAAAUCAGACCUUUCCAAACAUUUCAUGUUGGUGACACACCUUUUAGACAUGCAUCAUUUUGUGACAAACUCAUUCAAUUUUACUAGCAAACCAGAGAGUAAGCCAACCCUUUAUAAGAGAUCCGGACACAUACAUAAAUUGUAAUAACAAAAUCUAUGAGGCCACAACAUAUCUCAUGAAAACCUUUCAUUUAUAUUUUUAAAUAUAUAAUUGUUGAUUAUUUUAAAUAGAGUCAGAAAUUUUUCAUUAAGUUCAUGCAACACACACACACACACACACACUACAGCCAACAUAUUAAUACGUCGCAAUACACAAUUUUGAAAGAUCUGGUAUAAAUGCUGAGCACCACUUAUCCAAAAUGCUUCGGACCAGGAGUAUGUUAGAUUUGGGAUUUGUAUUAUUUUUGAACAAGAAGCGAUUUCCUGCUUCUUGGCAGGGGGUUGGACUGGAUGGCCCAUGAGGUCUCUUCCAACUCUACUAUUCUAUGAUUCUAUGAUUCUACCUGUAUCUGCAAACAGAUAUUCCAAAAUUAGAUGCAAGUCUAACCAUGAAAUUCAUUUGCUUCACAUACACAUUAUACACUUAGGCUGAAGAUAAUUUUAUACAAUAUUCCUAAUAAUUUAGUGCAUGAAACAAAAGUUUAUGUUUACUCAGCCAGCAGAGAACAAAAUUUCCACUAUCUUGGCCGCCUGUGUGGACAAUACUCAGAUUUUGGAGUAUUCUGGAUUUCAUGUUCAACAGUUAGAUUUCAGGUUGUAUGACAUUUGAUGUGAUGCUCAUAGCACUAACUAUGUGACUCUCAGCUGUCAGUUUCCAGCUGUUUGGGGCAAUGAAACUGCUCAGGUUAUUAGUUAUUAGUCCAGACUUUAAAAGAACCAUCUAAGGUGUUAUUUUGGGGAUAGGGUUCAACCCUGGGCAGUUUUAAAAGUUUAGAUUAAAACUCUGAGAGGACUCACUGCCCCACUGAGAUGGUGGCCAGCAGCUGCCAUGGAUGACUCCAAAAAAUGGAACUUCAAACAAUAGUUUGUACUUAAAUUGUGAGUUUGAGUUAUAUCUGCAUAGACAAACCUCUGGAAGUCAGUACAGCAAAUGAAUGAGCAUAUAGAAAACUAAAGCAGGCAAAUAGCGUUAUACAUUAUUGUUUGCUUGACUCUAUGGAAACUUAAACCACAGUUGAAUCUAAGCCAGGGCUUGUGCAAAUGAUUUGAUGCAAUUUCUGAUUUGAGCCGCUAUGUUCCUGGCUGAUUUCAUAAUAUUUUAAGGCUUUAGGCCAAGUCAGCAUAGCUGAAGAGAUAAGAGAUUUCUUCCAGCUUUCCCAGAAUUCUACUCUUUUAAUGAAGUCAUAGAAGUAGAACAGAAAAAAGAUUGGGGUAAGAGGGUUCCAAGAAUACACAUAACACAGCAGUAUCAGGAAUGAUAUAUAGAUUUGACUGUGUUCUUUCAGGAAUGUAUGAGUACUGCAUCUGCUAUGCACACAUUGGUCUGAAUGUUGUUUAGUACAGGAAAUCCAAGCAGUGGUCUGAACACCUUGACCUUUAAGGGAGGGGAGUAAUUGUCUGUUGCUCUUGUAAGAAUAUGUGAGCCCUUAUUCUUAUUAUUACAAUGAGCUGCAACAAAUUACCAUAUAAGAACUGCGACUUCAGUUUUCUAAGCAUGUGGUAAGUUACAGGGUCACUGCUCCACUAAAUACCUUAAACCGCUGCCCAUAAAGAAAGUAAACCUAACACACACUUGAAUUAUGCCAGAAAUAAUCAAAUCUAGCUGUGGCCUGGGGGACUGUGACCUUAAUUUAAAAUCAAUCAAAAAGCCUUUCAUUGACGGCAGCUGGUUGCCCUGCUCACAUGUCUAACAGUGAUGUUCUCACAAUUUCAUUAAAAAGUUGGGUGGAAAGCUUGUAUGUCAGUUUACAUCUCUUGGGUAAAGUAAGAUAUGGUCUCCUGCUUUGGCUAUGUGGUGAAGAGUCGUAUUACUGCCACAAGCAAAGAAGAUGCUGCGGAAAUCGGCAAGCUGGAUGCAACUCUUCCUACUGAUAGUUAACUUGUGAUGCCUGGAUAACUCAGUACAAAGGCUUUAACUCACCAGUUUUGGUGAUACUUGAAAAUGCAGUUUGACUUAUUGAUCCUUGCAAAGAAAAAAAAAGAAUUAUUACUACUGGAAAGCAGAAUCAAUGGAUUGAAAGUGGAGAAGAUAGGACAGAUACUUCUGUCACACUUACAACUCUUACAUAUCAUAAAUAUCUUUAAGAGCUAGCUGCUAAACAAUCAGACCUCCACAUGCACUGUUAGACGUAACAAACUCCAUGAAUGUGAAAAAAACACCACUAAUAAAAACACUUUUUAAAAAACUAGAGAGUCUCUAGAAAUCCCAUUUUCUGGAUGUUGACUAUAGAAUCGCAUUGGAGGACUUACGAGGGCCAAGGUAAGUGUUCACUUUAGGAAUCCCUAAGUCCUUUCAAUACAACUCUACAGUCAACCAGUGGCAUAUGUUGACAAAAGAGUUG